rnacentral:sRNA from 1 species
GGGGCAUAUUUUUUCCCUCAGAUAUAGCGUAAUGAUGAGAGCCAUCUUAAACUAUGCUCUUCGGUCUUCAAGCCUGUCAUACUGACUCGUCUUGAGCGAAAAUAAGUCUGUAACCCGCAAUGUGUGCGAAUUAUUGGCAAAAGGCAACCGCAGGCUGCCUUUUUCUUUGA